CCGACAACGACGAUGAUGCAAUGCAGUAUUCAUGCUGGGGUCGAUUCAGGCUCAUAUUCUCACGCUCAACGAACCCAAGAAAGCUCAAACAUGGCAACAGCAGCAGCAGCUCUAGCUUUAUCUUCCCAUUUUCCAAGUCGAAAAAACGUGGUAAACAAUCUGACGCUUUUAGGUACAGUCCAUUGAGCUAUGCUCAAAACUUCGAUGAUGGGGUUGAAUGGGAAGCUGAUAAUCAACAAUUUCGAGGGUUUUCGUCCAGGUAUGCUGCACCCGACUCCACCAGAUCUUCACAAAAUUAAUGAAAACCCUAAACGUAAGCUAUAGCUAGCUAUAGUAUAGAUGACGCUACAUAUAUACUCUAGUAUAUAUAAAUGUAUUACUAUAUUUUUGUUGAAUAUAUAUGCAUGCGUGUAUAUUUACUGACACUUUUUUAGUAUGGGAUGAAAAUGUAUAUAGCAACUGUAUCGUGUCAUUUGUAAACAAUAAAAAUUGGGGUUAUAGGUGCAUCAGGGGCGGAUCCAGGAUUUGAGGUUAGGGGGGGCUGAAUUUAUUGAUCUACGACGUAUGUAGACAUUUACACGGGGGUUCGGGGGCGGGAGCCCCCGAAGCAAUUUUUUUUGAACAUUCCGUACACUUUAUUUUCAUGCAUUUUUUUAACAAUCACUUAAUAUAAUAGAUAUAUGUUUGCAAUUCAACAUCAAGUAGAUUGAAAGUAUACAAAACAAUACUUUUAUGCAUUCUUUUAAAAAAAAUAUAUUUCAUUUUCUAAACAAAUAAACUAACUUUCAUUGUUAAUAAUUAGUAAUUUUACUUUUAACUUUAGAAUGGACUCAAAUUCAACAUUAAAAAUUAAUUAAGAAAAAAAAAUAGGAUAAAAAUAACAUAAAUGUAACAAAUCAAUGUACAAUUUCAAAGAAUUAAUAUGGAUAGUUGGAUAUACUAGAAAUAAUGUAUUAUAUUUUUUCUUCUAUUUCUUAUUUAUAUACACAUAUACAUAUAUAUUGAUAUAUUAAGUGAAAUAAAUUUCUAUAUUUAAAAAAAAAAAAAAAAAAAAAAAAAAAAACUACAAAAUUUGGGAGGGGGCUUCAGCCCCCCCUAGCCCCCCCUGAAUCCGCCACUGAGGUGCAUGAUCCAUGACAACCAUCAAUACUUUGGUCUAAAAACUUUCAACUCAUCAAGUGUAAGAAUUAGUUAAAUUAAACUCAACUUAUGGUUAUCUUUCUCUAACUGUACUAUUGUGUGUGUUGGCCUAGCGAUAGGAGUUAAUUAAUGCCCAAGACUUGAGGUCUUGGGUUCGAGUCCUUGAUCGUGUGGUCUUUGAUUUUCUUUAUUUACUUAUGUAAUUUAUCAAAGAAAAAGUAUUAGAGUUAUAAACAUUAAAAGCUAUAAUCAGAUUUUGAAGAGGCAUUUUAAUUAAGGAUGAUUUCAUCAUUAAUUAAGUAUCUUUUCAUUUACCACAUGAAUUCAUGAAUCUACUAAAUAGUUAGUAUUGUGCACUAUGCUUCACAAAUAAAUAGUACUAUCUGAUAAUUUGAUGUUAAAGUUGAAUGUAAAAAUAUAGUCCAAAUCGUUUUCUAGCUCCCUCACACUGUCACACCCAAAUUUUCGUACUUCACGCCACGUCAUUGAAGCCAUAUAAACCGAUGUAUAAGGAGACUGUCAUAGAGACAUUGCCUUAUAUAUCUGCGCCAAAUUUUAAAUACAAUUAACAAUAGUGGAAAUACUUUUAAAAGUACUGCACAAUUUUGUUGAAGUUUUUUUUUUUUUUUGUGUGAAGCAAAGAAGAGACUAUUCAUUCAUAUCAAAGUGUCAUGAGCAAUAUUCACAAACCAUGACAGAUGAUCACACUUCCAAAUCAUUAAUUACUUUCUGAGAGCUAAUAGGUAAACAAUCUAAAUUAUGGGCGGUCGAAUUCACAGACCGCCUCAUAUGAGAGAAACCAACCACAACAUUCCUACGAGCAUUCUCAAAUGCUUCCCAUAGGUCAUUGCUCAGGGAUUCAGAGCCUUUGUAAGAAUCUUGAAGUACAUGUACAGCCAAGAUAGGAUCUGAGAACAAAAUAGCCGGUCCAAGAUCAUUCUUCAUGCAGUAAUCAAUUCCCAAAAGCAAGGCAUGCAGCUCGCCCAUCAGAACGAUAUUAGUAUUGUAACCCACAGGUUGCUCACAGCUACAAUGAUCGAGCCCUUUGAGUCACGGAUAAUGAAGCCGAUGCCAACUUUCUGACCCUCCUUCUGCAAUGUUAAUUACUGUUGCAUAUUAAGUUUUAAUACCAAACUGAAAUUAAUUAUUUAAUUAAAAUAAUUAUUGGAUGUUAAUCUACGUCUCGAGUAGAUGAACGUGGUAUACUUGAAGUGUCAACAGUGGCGGACGCAGGAUUUCUAUCAAGGGGUGGCAAAAAAAAUUUUAUCAAACGAAACUAAAUAUAUAUAUAAAUUAUCCAUAGAAAUUCAAUCUAUAUUUAACCACAAUGAUUCGUCAUAGUUUGAAACUUAUGUAUAAUAGCAUCAUUAGAAACACAACUAAACAAGCUUCCAAAAUAAUAUUAAGGACAUAUUUAUAAAUAAAUAAUUAAUGAGGGGUAAUAUAGGUAUUUCAUAUCAAAAAUCAAGGGGUGGCAAUUGCCUUCCCUUGACUCUAUGUGCGUCCGCCCCUGAGUGUCAAAAUCGAUUUUCGAUGAGUGAGAUAUUAUAUGUCAAAGUUUGGAUGUCUGUAGGGAAAUAACAUCUGAAGAUGUUAUUGUCCCACAUUGGAAAAUGAGAUAAGUGUUUUCUUGUAUAAGAAUGGCAAAGCUCAUGGAACUAAUAACUUGUGGGCUUGCUAGUGUGCUUGGAUGAAGGCUUUGACCUCACGCACACACACGUGUGCCGACAAUCGAUCGGAGGGACACCGCCGUCGGAUAGGCGGGUUGGGUACGGGCUGUGGCCAGGUUGGAUCUUGGUAAUUGGUGCUUUGGGUUGUGUCUGGGACCUGGGUCCAAUUAUAUUUUUUUGGACAAAAUACUUUUGGGCUUUAUUUUUAGGACUAAUUUAUUUGGCCCAACUGAAUUUGUGUAACAGCCCACUAGAGUAUAACAGCCUAGACCACGCGUGUAGCUGCUGAACUCAAGCAGCAACUAACGAAAAUUCUGCAGUACACUCACUUCAUACUUGCUCAAUUCUUCUCCAAGUUCAGUUCGCCGGAGCUCACCGGACUUGUGAUGCUACUUCCGUUGAGACGCAACCGUUUCACCUUUGGAGAAGAAUCGCCGAAACCGAGAGCACUAGCAGGACAAAUUUCUUCUCGCGGGCCGGCAGAGAUUCCAUCUCGACUCGGCUUCACAUAUUUUCUGUAUUUCUACUUUUCCGUGUAAUUUUAUUUAUUCUUCUCCUUGUUAAUUUUAAUUCUCUACUUGUUGUUCAGUUUAUUAAGUUGUAAAAGCUCUUGAUCAUGUAUCCUGGUCUCUUACAGUUACAGCUACGUCGACAUCAACUCGGAGUAGCCUCUUAGCCGGAGGAUGCCACUGAGAAUCUCCUUCCGGAGGAGAAAUACGUUGCUUGAUGGAGAGCUUAGCCCGAGCUUCCUGGAAUUUCAGUAUUUCUUCAACCAGAUGAACCAUGUCCCCAACCUUUCCUCCAUGUUUUGCUUCACACAAGAUACGCCACACUUCCCAAAGCUGAAUGAACUAACACUCCAUACCUUCUUUCCCCACCUUUUCGAAAAUGUCUUGGCAUAUAGAAAGGUUCCCCAAUUUUUUGAUGUAAUACCAUAACAUCGACUCUUUCCAAACACGACAAACCAACUUACAAAACACAAGGCAAUGGGAUGUGGAGCCCCAUGCCUUAUUACACCAACAACAGACGCCGUUAGUAGGAACGUGGCGCUUGAAUAAGUUCGCAUCUGCUGCUAUAAGCUGGUUAGUAACACACCAGGCAAAAUGUUUAACCUCAGGAGAGAGGGAGAGAG
rnacentral:lncRNA from 1 species